rnacentral:ncRNA from 2 species
CGCUACGCUGCGGGAGAGCGUCGUCCGGGACAUCCGGGCAACCGCCGAAGGAGCAACACCUCUCCGUCAAACUCUCAGGCACCCGGGACCGUGGCUGCUGA